UGGCAUUUUAGUAGGUGAAAUUGACAUUUCUGUAGCCUUUGCACAUGCACAGUUUAAUCUUUUAGAUAAAACUAUUCAAGCAACUAGGCUUUUACAAACUGCUCAGUCUUCGUUUCAUUGUCCUCGUGUGAGUCAGAUCAGUCUUGCUCGUCUUAAAAUAGAGUCAGAAGUGUUGAAGAGUGUAAAUACUUGAACUCAAGCCAAGAGAUGCCAUCAUUCAGAAGACUGUGUGCCUCCACGUCUAACGUUUCACAGCCACGACUUACACAUUAAAAAUACUCAAAGUCAAGAGUGUUGGACAAAACAUGCAUGAAGGAUGAAUCAAGCCUAAGCUUUUAAAUCCAUACCAAUGCAUGCAGUAUUGUGAAGUUUAAUGGCAUUACUGUAGUGUAAUGUAAUUAAUAGUGAUGUUGCAUCAGGUCAUAUAUCAUCACCCGUGUCACCUCGAGCCCUAAACAUAAAGCAGCAUCUGUGCAGCGUGACACUCACGGACAGAUCCGCUGGAUUCAUGUUCUCUCUGUUCAGCAUGUUGAACUCAAGACGAGGUGAGAGUGGCUUAAAAAACACUGAAUGAAGGAGAGAAGAAUCUAAAGCACCAGCUGAAUAACUCAAGACUUGGUUUUCUGAGAGGAAAUGCAUAUUCUUGGGACUACAUUGAUUUUUAUUAUAGCCCUCAAGGUCUGUCUAGGUUUCUACCUUCAGACGUCGGAGGUCCAGGCGUAUGUUGGAGAAAGCGUGGUCUUGUCCUGCAACGGUUCAGGGUUCUCCGAGCAGGAGCUGGACGUUCACUGGGAGGCGAUGGGCAAAGACGUGAUCUCUCUGCGAGGAGACGUCGUCACGGUCGGGAGAGGGUUUGAAGAUCGCGUGAACUUCCUCAGAGAUCCGGCAGAGUCUGAGGACUUCUCCCUCAUUCUGUCCGACGUGAUGCUGAACGAUGGAGACGUAUACGAAUGUCUCUGGGAGGGAACUAAACCCAUCUGCUCUGUGUUACUACAAGUGUUACCUCCAGUGGUUUUCACUAAUCAUGUUGAAGUGUUUGAGGGUGUCGAUAUCACUUUGGAGUGCUUUGGGAAUAUCCCUAAAAACAAACCUUGGGAAGACAUUUACAUCCAGUGGCUGAAGGAUGACAAAGAAGUCCUGCGCUUGAGCUCUGGAGAGAUGGACGUCAGUAUUGAUUACAGUAUCCUGAGGUUACCGGCCAAACAUGACAUCAGUCGCGGUAUCUUCUCGCUGAGCAUCCCGUCAGUCAGUGUUUUCGACCAGGGUGUGUAUCAGUGCCGCUACAAGAGCACCGAUUACGAGGCACCACGGAGCGGAUUCCCGGAGACACACACGCUCACGGUUUCGGUGAUGGAUACACCUGUCACAGACACAGAAAGCGGCUCUGAGGUGUGGAGCAGCACAGCGUCUCUCUCUCAGACUCAGACGGUUUGGGCUCAGACUGAAAGCAGCAGCUCCUUGCCAACACUGACAUACACUGAGAGAGAUGGAGAGGUGUGGAGCAGCACAGCGUCUCUCUCUCAGACUCAGACGGUUUGGGCUCAGACUGAAAGCAGCAGCUCCGUGCCAACACUGACAUACACUGAGAGAGAUGGAGCUUUAUUUCUGGCGAUGACAGAUCCGUCAGUCACUGAGACAGUCACUCAUUCUGUGACGACGGAUAUAUCAGUCCCACAGACAGGCAUCGAUUCUAUCUACUUGACAACAGAUGAAGCGAUUCCAGACACAGACAUCGGUUCUGAUACGCCGUCGGUCACCGAGACAGACUCUGAUUCUGGUCAGAUUCCCUGGAUCCGCAUCGGUCUCAUUAGCACGGUUCUGCUCGUUACCGCCGUGGUUCUGGCUUUAUUACUGGUGUCUGGAAGAAUCGGAGUCGUCGAGAGAAAACCAUUGAAAGGAUUCAACUCUCAGACAUUUCCAGGCAAACAGCUGAUUCUGUGA
ensembl:lncRNA